rnacentral:misc_RNA from 1 species
GAUCGUCCAAGUAUGCGAUG